AUGGCCACCGACUCUUCCUACCCCGUCGAGUUCUUCCACCGCGGCGGCGGCGACGGCGACGGCGACGGCCAAUGGUGCAGCCUCGGCGCCGCCUACGCCGCCGUCCGGGUCCUCCGCCCGCAGGGCCACUCCCUCGUCAUGUACACCGUUCCCGACGACCGGCCCCACCAGCGGAUCCUCUUCGCGUACCCGAUCCUCCAUGGCGACGCCUUCGAGAGGCUGGACGGGUCCACGCUCUCCUGGGCGGGGCAAGGCUCCGGCGAUGAGUUUGCUCUCUGCUUCCGCGACGAGGCCGCCUGCGCAGCGAUCUGCGGCGCCAUCUCCCCGGUGACGACGGCGCUUGCAGCCCUGGACGACAUCGCUGACAGGCUCGAGGGGUUGCGAGUGGCCGCGGCGGAGGGGGGCGCCACGGCCGCCGGAGGGGACAUCGCUUGUCGGCUCGCGCAGCUUAGCUUAGCCCGCGGGCCAUGA
rnacentral:rRNA from 1 species